rnacentral:rRNA from 1 species
UACGUAGGGUGCAAGCGUUGUCCGGAAUUAUUGGGCGUAAAGGGCUCGUAGGCGGUCUGUCACGUCGGGAGUGAAAACUCGGGGCUUAACCCCGAGCCUGCUUCCGAUACGGGCAGACUAGAGGUAUGCAGAGGAGAAUGGAAUUCCUGGUGUAGCGGUGAAAUGCGCAGAUAUCAAGAGGAACACCUGAGGUGAAGACGGGUUGCUGGACUGACACUGACGCUGAACCGCGAAAGCCAGGGGAGCAAACGGG